rnacentral:lncRNA from 1 species
GAAAAACAAUUUCAAGUAGUUUUGUUCUUAUACUAUUCCUUAUACCCUGUUAUCAGUUCAUGGUGUGCCUUUAAAUGUUAUUUCUUUAGUUGGAUGAUGCUUUUGUAGGUGGAAUUGUUUCCCAAUGCACUUUCUUCAGAACAAAAACAAACAAGUGCUGAUAUUCCAACAAAGUUCACUUUCUAUAAUGAGUUAAAGCAAUAACCAAUUUUUCAUAUUUAAUGCACUCAUGAUCUAUUCUCUUCAUGCUCAAGGGUGAGCAGUAACAAGAGUUAUGAACCAACAAAAAGCAACAAGAGUUAUGAACCAACAAAAAGCAAUGUCCAAUUAUUUCUGUUCCUGCACUAUCAUUUUAAGUUCUACUUUGCUACUAACUCUUAGAGUUGGUAGUCUCCUAAUUAAUUUGACUAUGACUUGGUAAUAUUUCAGAAUGGAUAGAAAUGGCCUAUCUCUUGUUCCUGCAUCAGCAUUUGAAGUUUUUACUUUUACUACAAAUCCAGAGUAUCAAUCCUCUGAAUUGGUAACGCCUCAGAUAAAAGACCAAUUCCCUUGAACAUGUCAAUGGACACAUGAGAACUUUGAGUUUUAAGUAGAGUAUCAUAUGUUUUUUGCAUUUCAGCAAGUUGUUGAAGCCAUGCUUUAGAAUCCAACCUGGGCAAUGGCCCCUUGGACUUAGUCUCAGGUUACAAUUCAUCCUGUGGUUGGUAUGGGAAUAUUAAAAUAAAGGGAGACGGUGUUGUGUUUGAAAUAGAGUGGGAGUGAGAAGGUGAGAAAGAGAUGGAUAGAAGUGUAUGUUGCACACGCAGGAUUGAUGACUCUCAUUUCUGUCUGAUGCUGUAAUAUGGCUUUAUUAAGAUUUGUGUAGGAUUCCAGAUAUUACUGAAAAACUGGGUGCCUGCAAACUGACCAGUUGAAGCAGUUGAUCUGCCAUUUUUGAAGGAAAUUUUAAGGUCUAAGGUUCACCGAAUGAUAAAAGCUGAUGGAUGAGCGGGACAACUGUGUCCCAACCAGUUAGAAAAACACUGGUCUCAAGCAUGUCAAACACUCUGUUACUUAUUAUGUUUAUUAAUUGUUAUCUGUUACACACACAGUUUCUAUAUCUUGGUGCAAGGAAAAUUAAUCUCACUGAGAAAUAAACCCAUCCCACCACGUGACAAUAGGAUUGGGCAUGAGCCUUAUGAUCCUUACCUGGCAUACUGCUGUAUCAACAGCAGAAAACUACAAUUAAGUUACUUCUAUUGGACUAGCACAGCAGAAAACUAGAUUUAACUAGAUCAGUGGAAGCCUGGUUUCUCUACGCUGGAUGUUGGACCUGUUGUACCUUAUCCAACCAUCCGUUACAGGGAACUACCACUACACAUGUUUCUAUAUCUUGUACAUCCAAAUUAACGGUAUAAUUAUGCAUUUCAGUCAGCAAUUUUUAUGG